UACGGGGGGAGCAAGCGUUGUUCGGAUUUACUGGGCGUAAAGGGCGCGUAGGCGGCCUCUGCAAGUCGACUGUGAAAUCUCCGGGCUUAACCCGGAACGGUCAGCCGAUACUGCAGGGCUAGAGUGCAGAAGGGGCAACUGGAAUUCUCGGUGUAGCGGUGAAAUGCGUAGAUAUCGGAAGGAACAUCAGUGGCGAAAGCGACUUCCUGGACCAGUACCGACGUUCAGGCACGAAAGCGUGGGGAGCAAACAGG
rnacentral:rRNA from 1 species